rnacentral:rRNA from 1 species
AGAGUUUGAUCCUGGCUCAGGACGAACGCUGGCGGCGUGCUUAACACAUGCAAGUCGAACGAGGUUAAGCGAAGGAAGUCUUCGGAUGGAAUUUGUUUAACCGAGUGGCGGACGGGUGAGUAACGCGUGAGGAACCUGUCUUCUACAGGGGGAUAACGGUCCGAAAGGAUUGCUAAUACCGCAUAAGACCACGGAAUCGCAUGGUUCAGGGGUCAAAGGAGAAAUCCGGUAGAAGGUGGACUCGCGUCCCAUUAGAUAGUUGGUGAGGUAACGGCCCACCAAGUCGACGAUGGGUAGCCGACCUGAGAGGGUGAUCGGCCACAUUGGAACUGAGAUACGGUCCAGACUCCUACGGGAGGCAGCAGUGGGGAAUAUUGGGCAAUGGGCGAAAGCCUGACCCAGCAACGCCGCGUGAGGGAAGAAGGUCUUCGGGUUGUAAACCUCUGUCCUUGGUGAAAAGGAAGGAUGGUAGCCAAGGAGGAAGCUCCGGCUAACUACGUGCCAGCAGCCGCGGUAAUACGUAUGGUGCAAGCGUUAUCCGGAUUUACUGGGUGUAAAGGGAGCGUAGGUGGCUUGUCAAGCCAGAAGUGAAAACCCGGGGCUCAACUCCGCGGAUUGCUUUUGGAACUGAUGGGCUGGAGUGCAGGAGGGGUAAGCGGAAUUCCCAGUGUAGCGGUGAAAUGCGUAGAUAUUGGGAAGAACACCGGAGGCGAARGCGGCUUACUGGACUGUAACUGACACUGAGCUCGAARGCGUGGGGAGCAAGCAGGAUUAGAUACCCUGGUAGUCCACGCGGUAAACGAUGAAUACUAGUUGUUGGACGGCAUAGCCGUUCGGUGACGCAGCAAACGCAAUAAGUAUUCCACCUGGGGAGUACGUUCGCAAGAUGAAACUCAAAGGAAUUGACGGGGACCCGCACAAGCGGUGGAGCAUGUGGAUUAAUUCGAGGCAACGCGAAGAACCUUACCUGCUCUUGACAUCCCCCUGACCGGCCGGCAAUGCGGCCUUCUCUUCGGAGCAGGGGAGACAGGUGGUGCAUGGUUGUCGUCAGCUCGUGUCGUGAGAUGUUGGGUUAAGUCCCGCAACGAGCGCAACCCUUGUCCUCAGUAGCCAGCGGUACGGCCGGGCACUCUGGGGAGACUGCCGGGGACAACCCGGAGGAAGGUGGGGAUGACGUCAAAUCAUCAUGCCCCUUACGAGCAGGGCUUCACACGUGCUACAAUGGCGUAAACAAAGGGAAGCGAAGGAGCGAUCCGGAGCGAACCCCAAAAAUAACGUCUCAGUUCGGAUUGCAGGCUGCAACUCGCCUGCAUGAAGCUGGAAUCGCUAGUAAUCGCGAAUCAGAAUGUCGCGGUGAAUACGUUCCCGGGUCUUGUACACACCGCCCGUCACACCAUGGGAGUCGGUAACGCCCGAAGUCAGUGACCCAACCUUAGGGAGGGAGCUGCCGAAGGCGGGACUGGUAACUGGGGUGAAGUCGUAACAAGGUA